rnacentral:tRNA from 1 species
AGUUAAGAAGCUUUAUGUUAAGCAUGUGUUUUGAAAACACAAGACAGAAGUUUAAUUCUUCUAUUAACUU